AGCUUUGCACAGUGGCAGUAUUGUAGCCAAUGAGGUUUAUCCGAGGCGCGAUUAUUGCUAAUUGAAAACAAUAAAGGCCUUUUUUGGUUUUGGUUUUGUAUAUAGAAAACAUACAUGCUUUCUCAUUUUCCGAACUUGGC